CAGCAGCCGCGGGAAUACAGAGGGCGCGAGCGUUAAUCGGAUUUACUGGGCGUAAAGCGUGCGUAGGCGGCUUCUUAAGUCGGAUGUGAAAUCCCUGAGCUUAACUUAGGAAUUGCAUUCGAUACUGGGAAGCUAGAGUAUGGGAGAGGAUGGUAGAAUUCCAGGUGUAGCGGUGAAAUGCGUAGAGAUCUGGAGGAAUACCGAUGGCGAAGGCAGCCAUCUGGCCUAAUACUGACGCUGAGGUACGAAAGCAUGGGGAGCAAACAGGAUUAGAUACCCCCGUAGUCCCUGUCUCUUAUAA
rnacentral:rRNA from 1 species